UCUAGAGUUUUUCUUUAAUUCACAAAAACCUAUAUUAUCUUUAGUGUUUUUGCUACUUCAAAUGAUCGAAAAACCUUUGAUAUACAUGAUGUAGCGCAUGCUAUUUGCACUAUUAUCUUGUUUGCAUAAUUUUUAAUUUAUUACAGCUAUUGAUAUGAAUAUAUACAUAUACAUCUAUACAUGCAUAUAAGUUUUGAUUCCUUCUUGUUUUCUUACCUAUUUUGCCUUCUUGUUUUCUUGUUUGCUAUGUUUUAAUGUCAAGGGUACUUGUGUCUAUGCUCAACUUUCAAAGCCUGAUGGGGUUUGGGACUUGGGAGUGUUCCAUGGCUUGUGCUGCUGGGAAUUUCAGGCAGCAACAUUGUUCUUCCACUGCUGUGGUGCAUGCAGAUUUCACACUUCCAGGGAUGACGAUGAAAUCGAGGUAGGAAAGAAUAUUGAGUUAGCGUUGCAAGAGGCAAUUAAGCAGUCAAGGAUUUCUAUAAUCGUCUUCUCUCGAGAUUAAGAUCCUCCAACGCAAUAACGACUCCAAACAUGAAGUUUUGCGCAUCUUUUAUGAUGUGGAACCAACCCAAGUCAGGAAACAAACGGGGAGUUAUGCAGAAGCAUUUGCUAGACAUGGAGGGCGAUUUAAUGCAGAAAAUGAUGAAAGGAGGAAGGAAUGGAUAGACAUGGUGGUAAGGUGGAGGAAAGCACUCAAAGAAGUUGCAGACUUGAAAGGGAUGGAACUAGAAAAUCAAGCUGAUGGGCACAAAUCAAAGUUUAUCCAAAAAAUUGUCGAACAGAUUGGGAAUAAGUUGAACCGAACGAUCUUGACUGUUGUUCCUUAUCCAAGCGGGAUAGAUUAUCGAGUCAGAAGCAUUAAUUCAUGGAUAGAAGAUACCUCAACCGAUAUUGAAAUAAUGGCGAUACGUGGGUUGGGCGGUAUUGGAAAGACAACCAUUGCAAGAAUAGUUUAUAACUUCAAAAAAUUUGAAAGUGGAAGCUUUCUUGCAAAUAUCAUGCUAACUUGAAAGGGCGAAUUAUCCUAAUAAUUUUUAUACUUUGGGACUCAUAUUACUUUAGUUUUUUA